rnacentral:rRNA from 1 species
UACGUAGGGGACAAGCGUUGUCCGGAUUUACUGGGCGUAAAGAGCGCGCAGGCGGUCGAUCAAGUCGAGUGUGAAAGCCCCCGGCUCAACUGGGGAGGGUCAUUCGAUACUGAUCGACUCGAAGGCAGGAGAGGGUAGUGGAAUUCCCGGUGUAGUGGUGAAAUGCGUAGAUAUCAGGAGGAACACCAAUUGCGAAGGCAGCUCGCUGGGACGUUACUGACGCUGAGACGCGAAAGCGUGGGGAGCAAACAGG